GUGUCAGCAGCCGCGGUAAUACGGAGGAUGCGAGCGUUAUCCGGAUUUAUUGGGUUUAAAGGGUGCGCAGGCGGACUGUUAAGUCAGCGGUAAAAUGUCGGUGCUCAACACCGGCCGGCCGUUGAAACUGGCAGCCUUGAGUGAGCGAGAAGUAUGGCGGAAUGCGUGGUGUAGCGGUGAAAUGCAUAGAUAUCACGCAGAACUCCGAUUGCGAAGGCAGCAUACCGGGCGCUCAACUGACGCUCAGGCACGAAAGCGUGGGUAUCGAACAGGCUUAGAUACCCUGGUA
rnacentral:rRNA from 1 species